rnacentral:rRNA from 1 species
GUGGGGAAUUUUGGGCAAUGGGCGCAAGCCUGACCCAGCGACGCCGCGUGGAGGAUGACGGCCUUCGGGUUGUAAACUCCUGUCAGGUGGGAAGAAAUGCUCGCCGGUGAACAGCCGGCGGGAGUUGACGGUACCACCAAAGGAAGCCCCGGCUAACUCCGUGCCAGCAGCCGCGGUAAUACGGAGGGGGCAAGCGUUAUUCGGAAUUACUGGGCGUAAAGCGCACGUAGGCGGCCCUGCAAGUCGUAGGUGAAAGCCCUCGGCUCAACCGAGGAACUGCCUUCGAAACUGCUUGGCUUGAGUCCGGGAGGGGGGAGCGGAAUUCCCAGUGUAGCGGUGAAAUGCGUAGAUACUGGGAGGAACACCGGUGGCGAAGGCGGCUCCCUGGACCGGUACUGACGCUGAGGUGCGAAAGCGUGGGUAGCAAACAGGAUUAGAUACCCUGGUAGUCC